CUUUUUUCUUUUCAACAUAGUAAAGUUUAUUGAUAUUGUCAUAGAUAAGACAACAGCCUGGAUUGUGUUAAAAUAUCAAAGUGUACAUCAUCUCAAGCAGAGAGAGAGGGGCUGGAUCAUACAAUCAACUUAUUAUACAGUCUAGAGAAAACAAAAAAACAUGGUACAGCUUGCUCUAUUUAUAUAUAUUUUAUUUAUAUAUAUAUAUAUGUGUGUACAGCCAUUUAUACAUAC